rnacentral:tRNA from 1 species
GCGGAAGUGGCGGAACGGCAGACGCACCAGCUUGAGGGGCUGGCGGGGGCAACCCCGUGGAGGUUCAAAUCCUCUCUUCCGCACCA